CCUACGGGGGGCUGCAGUCGAGAAUCAUUCACAAUGGGGGAAACCCUGAUGGUGCGACGCCGCGUGGGGGAAUGAAGGUCUUCGGAUUGUAAACCCCUGUCAUGUGGGAGCAAAUUAAAAAGAUAGUACCACAAGAGGAAGAGACGGCUAACUCUGUGCCAGCAGCAGCGGUAAUACAGAGGUCUCAAGCGUUGUUCGGAAUCUCUGGGCGUAAAGCGUGCGUAGGCUGUUUCGUAAGUCGUGUGUGAAAGGCGCGGGCUCAACCCGCGGACGGCACAUGAUACUGCGAGACUAGAGUAAGGGAGGGGGAACCGGAAUUCUCGGUGUAGCAGUGAAAUGCGUAGAUAUCGAGAGGAACACUCGGGGCGAAGGCGGGUUCCUGGACAUUAACUGACGCUGAGGCACGAAGGCCAGGGGAGCGAAAGGGAUUAGAUACCCCAGUAGUC
rnacentral:rRNA from 1 species